AAAAAGUUCUAAGUUGCUAGCCAAUCGGGACAAAUACAGAGUGUGAGGUCCCGUUCCAGCCAAUGGAAACCAGACACAGCAGUAGGGUAGACGUGUCAGGUUAUAAACGACCCUGUCUCCUUUGUUCGGUGGACUCUCAUGGCAAAACUGCUGUUUCAGACACUGACGAUGGAUCCAGGACUCUCAGAGAGCACCCAGCAUGAUAAAUGCCAAGAAAACAAAAACAAACAAAACAAAACAAACAAAAACUAUAACUAGGCAUAUCAUAUUGAAACUGCAGGCCUGGCAUGAUGGCUCAUGCCUGUAAUCCCACACUUUGAGAGGCCAAGGCAGGUGGAUCACCUGAAGUUCGGAGUUCGAGACCAGCCUGGCCAACAUGGUGAAGCCCUAUCUCUACUAAAAAUACAAAAAUUAGCCGGGCAUGGUGGUGGGCGCCUGUAAUCCCAGCUACUCAGGAGGCUGAGGCAGGAGAAUCACUUGAAUCUGGGAGGCAGAGGUUGCAGUGAGCCAAGAGAUUGCACUGUUGCACUUCAGCCUAGGCAACAAGAGCAAAACUCCGAGCCAAAAAAAAGAGAAAGAAAGAAAGAAAGAAAGAAACUACAGAAAAUUGGAGAAAAUCUUGAAAAAAGCCAGAGGGAAAAACACCUUACCUAUAGAAGAGCAAAGAUAAGCAUUACAUCUAACUUCUCAGAAACCAUGCAAGCAAGAAAGGAAUGGUGUGAAAUAUUUAAAGAGUUGAGAGAAAAAAGUCAUUGACUCAGAAUUCUGUACCUUUUGAGGUUAUUCUUCAAAAGUGAAGGAGAAAUAACAACUUUCUCAGACAAACAAAAAUUGAGGGAAUUUUUUGCCAGUAGGCCUGACUUGCAAGAAAUGUUAAAAGAAAUUCUUCAGAGAGAGCCACCGCGCCCGGCCGCAAGCAUAAUUAUUACAGAUAAAGAGGGGCACUACAUAAUGAUAAACAGGUCAAUACUUCAGGAAGACAUAAUAAUUCUUAAUGUGCAUGUACCUAACAACAGAGCAGGAAACACAUGAAGCAAAAACUGAGGAAACUCCAUGGAAAGGAGAUAAAUCCACUAUUAUAAUUGGUGGCCUUAACACCCCUCUGUCUGAAAUGGACAAAACCAGCAGGCAGCAAGUCAGUAAGGGCAUAGCUGAAAACAGCACCAAAUAUCAACUGGAUAUAAUUGACAUUUAUAGAUGACUUCAUCCAGUAACAGCACAAUAUACAUUUUCCUCAAGCUCACAGGUCAUUGUCCACGAUAGACCACACUCUGCUCCUUAAGACACACUCAAUAAAUUUAAAAGACUAGAAAUCAUAUAAUGUCUACUCUCAAACCACAAUGGAACUAAACUAGAAAUAAAUUACAGGAAGAUAACUGGAAAACCCAAAAGUACCUGGAGACUGGUUAAAAAGCAAGCUUUUAAAUAACACUUGGGUCAAAGAAGAAAUCUUGAGAGAAACUUAAAAAUAUUUUGAAGUAAAUGAAAACGAAAAUACAACACAUGAAUUUUUUGGAUGCAAUAAAAGUGGUGCUUAGAGGGAAAUUUAUAGCAUUGAAUGCAAAUAUCGAAAAAGAAAAUCAAUAAUCUAAGCUUCUAUCUUGGGAAACUAGAAAAAGAAGAGCACAUUAAAUCCUAAGUAAAUGAAAAAAAAAAAAAAAAAAAAAGAACCCAGCCCCACCCAGCAGACCUAGUUCCAGGUUUGCCCCAGUGGAUUUAGGCUCCAGGUCCAACCCCACAGAGCUAGGCAUCAAGCCCACCCACCUGUUGACCCAGGCAGCAGGCCAGCCUGACAGAGAAAUCCAGCAGCAAGUCCAAUUGCCUGCCCAGCAUCUCUGGACAGGCUAACUGGUGAAGGGCUUUCUCUGCUAAAGCCAAUCUAUUAAGACUGAAAGAAGUGCCUGCUUCUUCAGAUGCACAGAAACCAAUGCAAGGUCACAAAGAUCAUGAAUAAUCAGGGAAACAAGAUACCACCAAAGGAACAAAAUAAAGCACCACUAACCAACUCUAAAGAAAUGAAGAUCUGUAAAAUGCCUGACAAAGCAUCCAAAAUAAUCAUAUUAAAUAAUCAGCAGCAGAGUUGGGCAUGGUGGCUCAUACCUGUAAUCCCAGCUACUUGGGAAGCUAAGGUAGGAGGAUCUCUUGAGUCCAGGAAGUUGAAACUAAUCACAGCAACAUAGUAAGACCCCAUCUCUUAAAAAUUUUUUUUAAUUAGCUGGGCAUGAUGGUGUGUGCCUAUAGUCCCAGCUGCUUAGGAGGCUGAAGAGGGAAGAUUGCUUCAGCCCAAGAGUUUAAGGCUGCAGUGAGCUUAUGUAGCUGUGUCUUAAGUUCAUUUUGUUUCACUCUGUCAUCUAGACAGAGUGAGAUCCCCAUCUCUAUUUUUUUUUUAAUCAGCAGCAGAAUACACAUUCUUUUCAAGCACACACAGAACAGUCUCCAAGAUAGAGCACAUGUCAGGCCACAAAGCAGGUCUUAACAAAUUUAAGAAGAUUGAAAUCCUAUCAAGUAUCUCUUCUGACCACAAUGGUAUGAAACUAGAAAUCAGUAACAGGAGGAAAAUUGGAAGAUUCACAAAUAUGUGGAAAUUAAUCAACACAUGAGCAACUAAUGAGUCACAGAACAAAUCAAAAGGGAAAUCAAAAACUCUCUUGAGGUAAAUGAGAAUGGAAAUACAACAUACCAAAACUCAUGGGAUGUAUCACAAGCAGUUCUAAGGGGGAAGUUUAAGUAGUAAAUGUCUAUAUUAAGAAAGGGAAAGAUCUCAAAUAAACAACCCAACAUUACACCUCAAAGAACUAGAAAAACUAAGAAAAAACUAAGCCUAAAAUCAGCAGAAGGAAGAAAACAAUUAAGAUCAGAGCAGAAAUGAAUAAAGACUAGAAAACCAAUAGAAAAGAUCAGUGAAACUGAGAGUUGAUUUUCUGAAAAGAUAAACAUAAUUGAGCAACCUUUAGCUAGAGUAUGAAAUAAAAGCAGAUUCUAAUAAAUAAAAUUAUAAACAAAAGAGACAUUACAACUGACACUGCGGAAAUACAAAGUGUCAUAAGAGACUGCUAUGAACAAUUAUACACCAGCAAAUUGGAUAACCUAAAAGAAAUAAAUAAAUUCCUAGAAAUUUACAAUCUACCAAGACUGAAUCAUGAAGAAAAAGAAAAUCUGAACAGACCAAUAACAAGUAAAAAGAUUGAGUCAGUGAUCAAAACUUGCCCAACAAAGAAAAGCUCAGGAACUGAUGUCUUCAUGGGUGAAUUCUACCAAAAGCUUAAAGAAGAAUUAGUGCCAGUAUUCUCCAAAAUGCUUUCAAAAAACUGAAGACGGUGAAACACUUCCAAGCUCAUUCUAUGAGGCAAGCAUUAACCAGAAGCCAAAGCCAGAUAAGAACACUACAAGAAAAGAAAAUUAUAGGCUGAUAUAGUUUGGAUAUUUAUGCCCUCCAAAUCUCAUGUUGAAAUUUGAUACCCAAUAUUGGAGGUGGAGCCUACUGGGAGGUAUUGGAUCAUGGGAGCAGAUCCCUCAUGAAUGGCUUGGUGCCAUUUUUGUGGUAGUGAGUUCUCGCUCUGUUAGUUCCCUUGAGAUCUGAUUGUUACAAAGAGCCUGGCAGCACCCUCCUCUCUUUUCUGCUCCCUCUCUCACCAUGUGACACACUUGCUCCCUCUUUGCCUUCCGCCAUGAUUAAAAACUUCCUGAGGCCCUCACCAGAAUCAGGUGCUGAUGCCAUGCUUUUGUACAGCCUGCAGAACCAUGAGCCAAAUAAACAUCUUUUCUGAAUAAAUCACCCAGUCUCAGGAAUUCUUUUAUAGCCACACAAAAUGGACCUAAGACACAGGCCAAUAUCCCUGAUGAACACAGAUGCAAACGUCUUCAACAAAAUACUAGAAAACAAAUUUCAACAGCACAUUAAAAGACUCAAACACCAUGACCAAGUGGGAUUUAUCCCUGGGAUGUGAGAAGAGUUCAACAUACACAAAUCAAUAAAUGCAAUACACCACAUUAACAGAAUGAAAGAUAAAAAUCAUGAUCAUCUCAACAGAUACAGAAAAGACAUUUGACAAAAUUCAGCAUUUUUUUGUGAUUAAAAACUCUCAUCAAAUUAGCUAUACAAGGCAGAUACUUCAACAUAAUAAAGGUCAUGUAUGACAAGACCACAGCUAACAUCUACUCAAUGAUUAAACCUGAAACCUUGUCCCCUAAGAUCAGGAAUAAGAAAAUGAUACCCAGUCUCACAGCUUGUAUUAAACAUACUACUUAAAGGUCCUAAACAGAGCAAUCAGGCAAGAAGAAAAAAAUUGAAGUCAUCUAAAUUUAAAAGGAAGAAGUAAAAUUGUCUCUGUUUGCAGAUGACUUCAUCUUAUACAUAGAAUCCCAAAAGACUCCACCAAAAAACUGUUAGAGUUAAUAUGCAAAUGCAGUACAGCUGUAGGAUACAAUAUCAACAUAUAAAAGUCAGUAGCACUUCUAAUAUACAGCCAUGCAUCACUUAACAACGGGGAUACACUCUGAGAAAUGUGUCAUUAGACAAUUUCUUAAUUAUGUGAACAUAAUGGAGUGUUCUUACACAAACCUAGAUGGUAUAGCCUACGACACAUCUAGGCUAUAUGGUAUAGCCUAUUGCUUCUAGGCUGCAAAUUUGUACAGCAUGUUACUGUGCUGAAUACUAUAGGUACUUGUAACACAAUGGUUAGUAUUUACGUGACUAAACAUGGAAAAGGUACAAUAAAAUAUGAUUUUUUAAAAAAGAUAAAAGAUGGAACACCUGUGUAGGGCACUUACUAUGAAUGGAGUGUGCAGGACUGGAAGUUGCUCUGGGUGAGUCAGUGUGAAUGCUUAGGAUAUUAUCGUACACUGCUGUAGACUUUAUAAACCCUGUACAUUUAGGCUAUGCUAAAUUUAUUUGGUAAAUAUUUUUAUUUCUUUAAUAAUAAGUUAACCUCAGCUUACUACAAUUUUUCCUCUAUAAGUGUUUUAAUUUUUUUAAACUUUUUGACUCUUUUGUAAUAACAGCUCCAAACAAAAACGUACACUGGGCAUGGUAGUGUGUGCCUGUAGUCCCAGCUACUCAGGAGGCUGAUUGCUUGACCCAGGAGUUUGAAUCUAGCCUGGGCAACAUAGCAAGAUCUCAUCUCUAAAGAAAGAAAAACACAAACACAUUGUAUAGCUGUACAAAAAUAUUUCCUUUAUAUCCUUAUUCUACAAGCUUUUUUUGUAUUUAAACUUUUUUGUUUUUAAGGCUUUUGUGAAACACACACACACACACACACACACACACACACACACAUUAGCCUAGGCCUACACAGGGUCAGGAUCAUCAAUAUCACUGUCU
rnacentral:lncRNA from 10 species